rnacentral:tRNA from 2 species
GCCUGGCUAGCUCAGUUGAUGGAGCAUGGGACUCCUGAUCUCAGGGUUGUGGGUUCAAGCCCCACGUUGGGUG